GUUUGUACGUACGUUCAUUCGUUCGUUCGAACGUACGUAUGUACGUACAUUCGUUCGUUUGUUUGUACGUACGUACGCACUUUCGUUCGUUCGUACUUACUUAUGUAAAUGCGUACGUACGUUUGGUCGUUCGAUCAUUCGUUCGUUCGUACGUUCGUUCAUUCAUUCCUUCUUUAGUUCGUACGUGCGUACGUACGUAUGUACUUUCGUUCGUACUUACGUACGUUCGUUCGUUCGUUCAUUCGUACGUACUUACGUUCAAUUGCACGCUCGUUCUUUUGUGCACUCGUUCAUUCGUAUGUACGAAAGAACGAACGAACGAAUGAUCGAACGACCGAACGUACGUAUUUACGUAAGUAAGUACGAACGAACGAACGUACGUCUUUAUUACGAACGAUCGAACCUGCGUACGUACGUGCAAACGAACGAAUUUAUGUACGUACGAACGAACGGACGAACAAAUGAACGAACGAACGUAAGAACGUACGAACGAAAUAAUGAACGUAAGUACGAACGAACGAGCGCACAAAAGAAGUACGAACGAAAAAAACUUACGUACAAACGAACGAACGUACUUACGUAAGUACGUACGAAGGUUCGAGCGUUCGUAAUACGUACGUUCGCUCUUUCGUUUGUUCGUUCGUUUGUAAGUACGUACAUAAGGUACGUACUUACGUAAGUUCGUAUUUACUAACGUACGUUCUUUCGUACCUACGUUCGUUCGUACGUACGGACGUACGUAUGUACGUUCGUAGGUGCGUAUCUUCGUUCGUUUGAACUUACGUACGAUCUUUCGUACCUACGUAAGUACGUCCGUUCAUUUGUUAGUUCGUUCUUUCUUUCCAAUGUUCCGACGUACGUUCGUUCGGUUGUUCGAAGGUACAUACUUACGUUCGUUCGUACGUAUCUUCGUUCGUUUGAACUUACGUACGAUCUUUCGUUCGUACCUACGUAAGUACGUCCGUUCAUUCGUUAGUUUGUUCUUUCGUUCGUACGUACGUACGAAAGAUCGUUCGUUCGAAUGUUCCGACGUACGUUCGUUCGGUCGUUCUUUAGAAGGUACAUACUUACGUAAGUAUGUAUGUUCAUUCUUUCGUUCGUUUGUUCGUACGUUCGUUCUUUCAUCCAUCCGUACGCAUGUACAUACGUACGUUCGUAGGGAAUUUCGAUCGUUGUUACCUUCGAACGUUCGUUCAUUUAUUCGUUAUUUCAUUCGUUUGUUCGGACGUACGUUCGUUCUUUCGCUCGUACAUACGUUCGUUCAUUUGUUCGUUCCUUCGUUCGUUUGUACUUACGUACGUACGUUCUUUCGUUCGUACGUACGUCCGUUCAUUCGUUAGUUGGUUCUUUCGUUUGUUCGUACCUUCUUUUGUACGCUUGUUCAUUCGUUCUUUCGUUCGUAUGUACUUACGUGCGUUCGUCCGUAAGUUCGUACUUACGUUCGUUCGUACGUACGUACGUAGUUUUUUUCGUACGUUCGUUCGUUUCGCUCGUUCUUUCCUUCGUUCGUUCGUUUUUUCUUACGUACGUACAAACGUUCAUUUGUUUAUUCGUUCGUUCGUAAGUUCGUGCGAACGUACGUACGUUUGUUCGAUAUUUGAUGUCUACAUACAUACGUACGUUAGUUCGUUCAUUCAUUCGUCCGUUCCUUUGUUGGUCCGUUCGUUCAUUCUUUCUUUCGUUCGUUCGUACGGACAUAAGGUACGUUCAUUAGUUCGAUCGUUCGUACGUACGUACUUAAGUAAGUACGUACGUUCGUUAGUUCGUACUUACGUUCGUUCAUUCGUUUGUACGUACCUUAGGUACGUUCGUUCGUUCGUACAUACAUUCAUUAGUUCGUUUGUACGUACGUACGCAAUUUCGUUCGUUCGUUCGUUCUUUCUUUCGUUCGUACGUACGUACGUUCGUUCGUUUGUACGUACCUUCAUUCGUUCGUUCGUUUGUAUGUACGUACGCACUUUCGUUCGUUCGUUCUUAUGUACGGACAUAGGGUACGUUCGUUCGUACGUACAUUCAUUAGUUCGUUUGUACGUACGUACGCACUUUCGUUCGUUCGUUCGUACAUACGUACGUUCGUUCGUUUGUACGUACGUUUUUUUCGUUCGUUCGUUCGUUCUUUUGUACGCUCGUUCGUACCAUGUGGUUGGGAAGCAAGCUUCUUACCAGACUGCCAUUUUGUGUAUUAUAGAAGUAUAAGCAAUUUUAUUGCAGAUAAAUUUUAACAAGAAAAUAUCAUAUGGAUCCUAGUUGAGAACAACUGCUCAGUAUGGUCACUCAGUCUGCUAGAAAUAACUCAUAUUUCUCUCCAAUCACAGUUGACAUCAGUGGUUCUCAACCAUCUUUUUUCCGUGGACCCCUUCAAACCCCCAUUUUACUCUACUGGACCUCCACUGCUAUUAACUGUAUAUAUAAAAAAAAUCUUACUGUGUUUUUAUAAUUAAAUAUUUUGUAUAUUGUAGAAGUAUAAGUGAUUUAUUGUAGAGAAACUUCAACAACGAAAUCUUAUUGCUCCCACCAAGGGUCAUAUGGACCUCCAGUUGAGAGCCACUUAUCUAAUGGUUCUGCUAAUAUCUCUCACUAAUACCUGUUGUGUUGUAGGUAGCUGUAUUGAUCCAAGACAAUCAAAAUUUGGAAGCCAAAGUUGAAGAGUUGGAGAAGAGGUUGAUGGACACAAACAAAUUAGAGGCGGAACUGAAGCAGUUACAACUACGAUCCGAAAAGGUGUGUCGUCGUUGUGGUAAUGAAAUCAAACCAUGUCUACCAGCUGGAGUCCUUGGCAAAGAAGUGGAGCAUGAUGAACCACAGAUGACAAGUGAAGGCAAGGUUGCACGUUUAGAGGAUGGUGGCAGUGUGUAUGGUAGUAAUGAAUCUAUUCACAAAGUCCUCAUGGAGACUCGGGAACAACUGUCAGGCAACGGUGUACAGUCUAAUGUCUCCAUUCUCAGUGAGCUCGAGUCACAGUACUACGCUCUAUGUCAAAAAUACGAGUCUCUCCUGCAGCACAAAUUGCGGAGACCUCGAUCAGGUACAGACUUUGAUGAAGAUGAAGCCGACAGGAAUUUCCGUGUUUCGCACAAGGAAGUGCAGACCCUCCUUGUAAACCUGCAUCGCUGUGUCGAGGUGAAUACAGACGUUGGAGACUCCACGACAAGCCCACCACCGUAUCGGUCCCUUUUCAAAGACAUCUUUGCUACCCUGCGCAAAUCUCGAAUCGAAGAGUCUCCAGAACAGCAAC